rnacentral:rRNA from 1 species
GACAGAGGUGCCAAGCGUUAGGCGGAAUCACUGGGCUUAAAGCGUGUGUAGGCGGGCCACCAAGUACCUUGUGAAAUCCCACGGCUCAACCGUGGAACUGCUGGGUAUACUGGUUGUCUUGAGCCAGCUAGGGGUGAGCGGAACAGACGGUGGAGCGGUGAAAUGCGUAGAUAUCGUCUGGAACGCCGAAGGUGAAAACAGCUCGCUGGGGCUGCGCUGACGCUGAGUGAGCGAAAGCCAGGGGAGCAAACGGG